rnacentral:piRNA from 1 species
UCCAAGCCCCGGCCUAACAAUGUGA